rnacentral:rRNA from 1 species
GACGAACGCUGGCGGCGUGCUUAACACAUGCAAGUCGAACGGAAAGGCCCUGCUUUUGUGGGGUGCUCGAGUGGCGAACGGGUGAGUAACACGUGAGUAACCUGCCCUUGACUUUGGGAUAACUUCAGGAAACUGGGGCUAAUACCGGAUAGGAGCUCCUGCUGCAUGGUGGGGGUUGGAAAGUUUCGGCGGUUGGGGAUGGACUCGCGGCUUAUCAGCUUGUUGGUGGGGUAGUGGCUUACCAAGGCUUUGACGGGUAGCCGGCCUGAGAGGGUGACCGGCCAAAUUGGGAUUGAGAUACGGCCCAGACUCCUACGGGAGGCAGCAGUGGGGAAUAUUGCACAAUGGGCGGAAGCCUGAUGCAGCAACGCCGCGUGCGGGAUGACGGCCUUCGGGUUGUAAACCGCUUUCGCCUGUGACGAAGCGUGAGUGACGGUAAUGGGUAAAGAAGCACCGGCUAACUACGUG